CCUACGGGCGGCAGCAGUGAGGAAUAUUGGUCAAUGGGCGAGAGCCUGAACCAGCCAAGUCGCGUGAGGGAAGACGGUCCUACGGAUUGUAAACCUCUUUUGUCAGGGAGCAAGGAGCGCCACGAGUGGUGCGGCAAGAGUCCCUGCAGAAAAAGCAUGGGCUAACUCGGUGCCACCACCCGCGGGAAUACGGAGUAUGCGAGCUUUAUUCGGAUUUAUUGGGUUUAAAGGGUGCGCAGACGGAAGCGGCCAGUCAGCGGUAAAACUGCGGGGCUCAAGCUCGCCGAGCCGUUGACACUGCUCUUCUAGAGUGGGCGAGAAGUAUGCGGAAUGCGUGGUGUAGCGGUGAAAUGCAUAGAGAUCACGCAGAACUCCGAUUGCGAAGGCAGCAUACCGGCGCCCAACUGACGCUCAUGCACGAAAGCGUGGGUAUCGAACAGGAUUAGAUACCCCAGUAGUC
rnacentral:rRNA from 1 species